rnacentral:rRNA from 1 species
GAUGAACGCUGGCGGCGUGCCUAAUACAUGCAAGUCGAGCGACGCGGGGACGCGUGAGUAACACGUGGAUAACCUCCUAUAAGACUGGGAUAACUUCCGGAAACCGGAGCUAAUCCGGCUACUUUUAGCUGGAUGUGCGCUGCAUUAGCUAGUUGGUAAGGUAACGGCUAACCCAGGCAACGAUGCAUCGCUGACCUGAGAGGGUGAUCGGCAACACUGGAACUGAGACACGGUCCAGACUCCUACGGGAGGCAGCAGUAGGGAAUCUUGCGCAAUGGGCGAAAGCCUGACGGAGCAACGCCGCGUGAGUGAUGACGGUCUUCGGGUCGUAAAACUCUGUUAUUAGGGAAGCGUUACCUAAUCAGAAAGCCACGGCUAACUACGUGCCAGCAGCCGCGGUAAUAC